CGUCUUGUGACCGCCCCCCGCCCCACCUAUAUUAGCCCUGUGCGGGGCAACCCGGACUAUGGUGAUAAACGCACCUGUAAUAGACGGCUCGGACCCGGGGGCGGUACCCGGCGACUCCACCAUUCCACCUGUUCGUUUCAGGGGUUCGGGGUCGAAAUAGGAUCGACGAACGUUCAAAGAGGCCAGCUUUUACUCGGUGAGGUACCACCGUUAUCGGUCCAAAAGUACAGUUGCAAACGACAACCGUGCUCCGAUGGCGAUGGCUGCGUAAGCAGUCGGAACUAUCGAAACUUAAGCCCUUGCGCUUAGCCGCGUAAGGCGGGGUUCGCAGGUACCUGGCAACAGAAACCUGCACC
rnacentral:tmRNA from 1 species